rnacentral:tRNA from 2 species
GUUAAUGUAGCUUAAUUAAUAAAGCAAGGCACUGAAAAUGCCAAGAUGAGUCACAUGACUCCAUAAACA